AACGAACGCUGGCGGCAUGCCUAACACAUGCAAGUCGAACGAGACCUUCGGGUCUAGUGGCGCACGGGUGCGUAACGCGUGGGAACCUGCCCUUAGGUUCGGAAUAACUCCCCGAAAGGGGUGCUAAUACCGGAUAAUGUCUUCUAACCAAAGAUUUAUCGCCUUUGGUUGGGCCCGCGUUGGAUUAGCUAGUUGGUAGGGUAAAAGCCUACCAAGGCGACGAUCCAUAGCUGGUCUGAGAGGAUGAUCAGCCACACUGGGACUGAGACACGGCCCAGACUCCUACGGGAGGCAGCAGUGGGGAAUAUUGGACAAUGGGCGAAAGCCUGAUCCAGCAAUGCCGCGUGAGUGAUGAAGGCCUUAGGGUUGUAAAGCUCUUUUACCCGGGAUGAUAAUGACAGUACCGGGAGAAUAAGCUCCGGCUAACUCCGUG
rnacentral:rRNA from 1 species